GACGAACGCUGGCGGCGUGCUUAACACAUGCAAGUCGAACGAUGAACCGGAGCUUGCUCUGGGGAUUAGUGGCGAACGGGUGAGUAACACGUGGGCAACCUGCCCCAGACACCGGGAUAACCAUUGGAAACGAUGGCUAAUACCGGAUACGACCACUUCGGGCAUCCGAUGGUGGUGGAAAGGAUUCUGGUCUGGGAUGGGCCCGCGGCCUAUCAGCUUGUUGGUGGGGGUAAUGGCCUACCAAGGCGACGACGGGUAGCCGGCCUGAGAGGGCGACCGGCCACACUGGGACUGAGACACGGCCCAGACUCCUACGGGAGGCAGCAGUGGGGAAUAUUGCGCAAUGGGCGAAGCCUGACGCAGCGACGCCGCGUGAGGGACGAAGGUCUUCGGAUU
rnacentral:rRNA from 1 species